rnacentral:lncRNA from 10 species
AAUACCCUCAAUUAUAGAAAUUAGGUUACUUACCCCUGAUUAUAUAGCCAAUUAGAACAAAGCUUAACUUCUGUAAAAUUAGAGUUGAUGACCUUAGGAAUUAGAAACAAAAACAAAAACCAGCUUUGUUAAGAUGUAUGGUAAGCCUUGUUCUUUUGUGGUGAUUUAGAAUAAGAAGAAUUGGCCAAAUGCAAUGUACCUUGAAGAAGUUUAAGAAUAUUAAUUCACAUCAAGUCAAAAUCGUCACCAUUAUGAAAGUAAUUACAACAACCACUGCUUUUGCUUAUUUUCCAUUUAUGCGAUUCAGCAGUACAAGCAAAAUGAGGUAAAGUUAUAGGUCAAGAACAGUCAGCCUUCUUCAGUUAUUUCUGAAGCCUUUUAUGAUUGUGUUAUAGCCCAAUGUUCACCUUAGACUUGUCUCCUUUCUCAGUUUCAUGCAUUUCUUGUUGCUUAGUUUUAGAAAUCAUUUCACUCUGGAAAGCUUUCAGAUCACAGAUUCCUGCUCAUAAGUGGAUAAAUGAUGCAGUAAAAUUGAACAAACACAGCUCGUCCUACAUUCUGAAGAUGGGGCACAUUUAUCAGAAGAGAAAAACUGCCAGAGAGAAUUCACAUCAGUGCAGACCGAGAGUCUCAGAUGGCUAAGAGAUGUGCCUGACAACUUUUCAGAAAUAAGACUAUUAAAAGAAGGUCAGCUUGGAGUCUUACUGCGAAGAAUUAUAAACAGGCACGUGGAUUAUAAAUAGGGAUCAUCUAAUUCUACAACAAGAUUGCUGUCUGAACACUUGAGAUAAAUCUUCAUUCACUCUCUGGAAUUGCUCAACACACAGGUUAAUUUCUCACUAUUGAUUUUCUCCAGUAUGCUUCUUGAAUGCUUCGAGAUCUCUUGACCUAUACAAAAUAUCUCUGUGACAGAAGGUUAAAAAAAUAGCUCUUCAAAUUUAUGACAAACCCACAGCCAAUAUCAUACUCAAUGGGCAAAAGCUGGAAGCAUUCCCUUUGAAAACUGGCACAAGACAAGGAUGUCCUCUCACCACUCCUAUUCAAAUUAUUAUUGGAAGUUCUGGCCAGGGCAAUCAGGCAAGAGAAAGAAAUAAAGGGUAUUCAAAUAGGAAGACAGGGAGUCAAAUUAUCUCUGUUUGCAGAUGACAUGAUUGUAUAUUCAGAAAACCCCAUUGUCUCAGCCCAAAAACUCCUUAAGCUGAUAAGCAACUUCAGCAAAGUCUCAGGAUACAAAAUCAAUGUGCAAAAAUCACAGGCAUUCCUAUACAUCACUAAUAGAGAGCCAAAUCAUGAGUGAACUCCCAUUCACAAUUACUACAAAGAGAAUAAAAUGCCUAGGAAUACAACUUACAAAGGGAUGUGAAGGACUUCAUGCUACCUGACUUCAAACUAUGCUACAAGGCUACAGUAAC